UAACCUGCCCAAGAGAUCGGGAUAACACCUGGAAACAGAUGCUAAUACCGGAUAACAACAGAUGAUGCCUAUCAACUGUUUAAAAGAUGGUUCUGCUAUCACUCUUGGAUGGACCUGCGGUGCAUUAGCUAGUUGGUAGGGUAACGGCCUACCAAGGCGAUGAUGCAUAGCCGAGUUGAGAGACUGAUCGGCCACAUUGGGACUGAGACACGGCCCAAACUCCUACGGGAGGGCAGCAGUAU
rnacentral:rRNA from 1 species